UACGGAGGAUGCAAGCGUUAUCCGGAAUGAUUGGGCGUAAAGCGUCCGCAGGUGGCUGUGUAAGUCUGCUGUUAAAGAGUGAGGCUCAACCUCAUAAGAGCAGUGGAAACUACAUGGCUAGAGUGCGUUCGGGGCAGAGGGAAUUCCUGGUGUAGCGGUGAAAUGCGUAGAUAUCAGGAAGAACACCGGUGGCGAAAGCGCUCUGCUAGGCCGCAACUGACACUGAGGGACGAAAGCUAGGGGAGCGAAUGGG
rnacentral:rRNA from 1 species